UGUAGCUCAGUGGCAGAGCAUUUGUCUGGCAUAUGUGGGGCCCUAGGUUCAAUUCCUAGUA
rnacentral:tRNA from 1 species